rnacentral:tRNA from 1 species
GGCACCAUGGCGGAGUGGUUACGCAGCGGAUUGCAAAUCCGUGUACCCCGGUUCGAUUCCGGGUGGUGCCUCCA